AUGAAUUUUUGGAUGGGGAAGGUACAGAGUAAGAAUGUUCCAGCCUAUGAUGGAGCAAUUUUUCUGUGCAACCACCUGACCAGGAAGGAGUGCUUCCACAGAAAGCUUUUUGGCCUUUCGUCUAAAUGUAUUGAGUUUAUACAUAAAGUGAAAUCUGGCGCGACACUAUUCCUGUAUGAUGUUGAGCAACGUAAGCUUCAUGGGGUGUUUGAAGCAACUUCAGAUGGAGCCAUGAAUAUCAUUCCUGGUGCAUAUGCCUCAUCAGGGUUUCAGUAUCCUUGUCAGUGA
rnacentral:rRNA from 1 species